rnacentral:rRNA from 1 species
UACGGAGGGAGCUAGCGUUGUUCGGAAUUACUGGGCGUAAAGCGCACGUAGGCGGCUUUGUAAGUUAGAGGUGAAAGCCCGGGGCUCAACCCCGGAAUUGCCUUUAAGACUGCAUCGCUUGAAUCCGGGAGAGGCGAGUGGAAUUCCGAGUGUAGAGGUGAAAUUCGUAGAUAUUCGGAAGAACACCAGUGGCGAAGGCGGCUCACUGGACCGGUAUUGACGCUGAGGUGCGAAAGCGUGGGGAGCAAACAGG